rnacentral:tRNA from 1 species
GGAGCAGCUUGGUAGCUCGUCGGGCUCAUAACCCGAAGGUCGUCGGUUCAAAUCCGGCCCCCGCAACCA